CUAUGGUUUAUUGGAUCGUACCCGUUAAAUGGAUAACUGUAAUAACUCUAGAGCUAAUACAUGCCUCGAUGCCCUGACUCUGUCGGCUUGCUGCUUGCCUGUGGGUAGGUGGUGGCAGGCAGGGUGUGGGUGCACUUAUUAGAUCAGAAGCCAACCAACUGCUCGUGCGUUGCGUGUGCAGCCGACUGCUGUAGGCGUGCGUGCGUGCGUGCGUGCGAGUGUUGAGAGGAGACCGCUUCUGGUGACUCUGGAUAAUUGUUACAGAUCGCAGUCGGCCUUGAGUCGGCGACGGGUCCUUCAAAUGUCUGCCCUAUCAACUGUCGAUGGUAGGUGACCUGCCUACCAUGGUGAUAACGGGUAACGGGGAAUCAGGGUUCGAUUCCGGAGAGGGAGCCUGAGAAACGGCUACCACUUCCAAGGGAGGCAGCAGGCGCGCAAAUUACCCACUCCCGGCACGGGGAGGUGGUGACGAAAAAUACCGAUGCGGGACUCCCUCAAGAGGCUCCGUAAUCGGAAUGAGUGGACUCUAAAUCCUUUCACGAGGAUCAAUUGGAGGGCAAGUCUGGUGCCAGCAGCCGCGGUAACUCCAGCUCCAAUAGCGUAUAUUAAAGUUGCUGCAGUUAAAAAGCUCGUAGUUGGAUCUCGGUAGCAUUGUUGCCCGCUGGUAAUUGAGCGGCCGGUGUGUGGUCAACGGUGCGCGGUCGCGCUGGCACACAGUCUGCGUGUGAGCGUGUGGUGAGCGCGUGUCGGUUGGUAGGUUGGCAGGCGAGCUGGUUGGCCGUUGUCGCCGCUGCUGCCGCCACUGUCGGGUAGUUGGCUGCCUGGCUAAGCGGUUGGUUGGUUGGUUGGUUGGCGGGACGGCUGAGUGGUUUGCUUACCAACUGGGCUGGCUGGUGCGAUGCCCCACUGCAACUGCCUGCGUGCAGUGUGUGUUGGCAGGGAUUGUGUUGCCGUGGCCAUGAAGAAGCACUGUCGUGUCAAGCUGGCAGGGCGAUGGUGUCACCUUUAAGCCAUGUCUGUGGUGUAGCAGCUGCAGGUGUGGACGGGUGUUGGGCGGUGCUCUGCACACGUUGCGGAGUCUGUCGGCUCGUCUGCAUGCCUUUGGAUGCCCUUGAAAAGGUGUCCGCGGGCGGAUGGCACGUUUACUUUGAACAAAUUUGAGUGCUCAAAUCAGGCCGAUGUUGCCUGAAAAGUUUUGCAUGGAAUAAUGGAAUAGGACUUCGGUUCUAUUUCGUUGGUUUUCGGAUCCGAAGUAAUGAUCAAAAGAGACAGGCGGGGACGUUUGUAUGGCUGCGCUAGAGGUGAAAUUCAUGGACCGUAGCCAGACAAACUAAAGCGAAAGCAUUCGUCAAGCAUGUUUUCAUUGGCCAUGAGCGAAAGUCAGAGGCUCGAAGACGAUCAGAUACCGUCCUAGUUCUGACCAUAAACGAUGCCAACUGACGAUCCGUGGUGGUAGUAAUGUUACCUUCCCCACGGGCAGUCCCCGGGAAACCUUUAAGUGUUUGGGUUCCGGGGGAAGUAUGGUUGCAAAGCUGAAACUUAAAGGAAUUGACGGAAGGGCACCACCAGGAGUGGAGCCUGCGGCUUAAUUUGACUCAACACGGGAAACUCACCCGGGCCGGACACUAUGAGGAUUGACAGAUUGAGAGCUCUUUCUUGAUUUGGUGGUUGGUGGUGCAUGGCCGUUCUUAGUUGGUGGGGCGAUUUGUCUGGUUAAUUCCGAUAACGAACGAGACUCCAGCCUGCU
rnacentral:rRNA from 1 species